rnacentral:lncRNA from 1 species
CUGGGAGGGAAAGAUAGAUAAUGCUACUGUGAAUGGGGCCAUAUAGUGUUGUUUUGCUCCCAGCAGAUUGUGCAGAUCCCUGUAAUGUGUUGUCUUUAUGUGUUUCUCACCUUCUGUCUUACCUCUUUAACUUUCUAAAGGAGUAGGGAAAUAAUUGAAUGUUGUGCUGACUUUCUAAGUUGUAAAUAGCCAAAAGAGUCAGUAUUUUGGGAUAGUAAAGUCAGUUUCUUGCCAUUCUUGGAGCCAUUGACACAGGCUCCCCAGAGGCUGAAGCAGACUGCACCAUGGGUCCUAUGCAUUGCUUUCUGCUUGGAGUGGUAGGACACAGGGGGAUCUGAACCUCUGCAUGUCCCACCCCAAAGCAACGUGGCUCCACUCAAGCCUUCACCCUUGCAGCAGAAGCAAAUUCAAGAAGGAUUUGAGGUUUCUUCAUUUGCCGUCUUCUUGCAGUUUAAUAAUAGAUACCUGGUGCCUGUCGCUGUUAGCUAGAAGGUGCUAUAUUUAAAUGAAUCUGUCUGGUGAUCCCUGAGCUCAUAUUGGUGGGCCACGCUAGAAAUAGCACUAAAAUAACACACUAAGUAAAGUAGCACUUAUAUUUAAAAAAAUUGAGAAUUUUAUUCACUUACAAAUUACUCAAAUUAGAACCUCUUUGCAUUUUAUGUUUUUAUACUGAAUUUAAUUUAUUCUAUACCAUCUCCACCCCAUUUUAUAUUCUUUUUUUUUUUCCCCUUGGAGCUCACCUGUGGAAAUUGCUGUAGGCGGUAUAGCAAGAUGGAAACUUGGGUAUCUGAAAUAAUAAAGCAAGUUUUGUGUCUGAAAAGGAGCAGAAAUAGCAUUCUGGAAUGGUGUGACGACACAGUAUUCAGGCAGCUCCACCAUGGUCUCCUGAAGGCAUUCCCGUAUGCUUCAGUGAGCUCAGCAUUUCCAGUGCCUCCGAUCAUUCUGGAGUCCUUUGGCUGCCCCACAUCUCCUGACAGGACCCUCAUUUGUCUCAAUCCUGGUGCUUCUAGACCAAGGCAAGUAGCUGCUACGUGCAUCCACCUCCAGCCUAAGAGGUAAGGUCACGGGUAAUGGAGUCUGUAUGAGGCUAAUGUGACCUCAGGGCACUGUAAAGGGCCAUACUCUUUUCUCCCAAGCCCAAGGAAGAGCUAUUGCAGGCAUUUUGGCAGGAACUAGCUGGCGAUUAAUUGAGCAACAAUUUGAACCAUUGCGAGACUCUGUUGUGAGCGUAUUGAUUACAAAGUGAGUGAUGCCUCCCAGGCUGCAGGUAAAUGUGAUUCCCGGUGCUGGAGUCAGGCUGGCCAAAGGGGAUUCAGUAGUGGCAAGGACUUCUGCUAGAAAAAUUGGCUUUUGUGGACAGCAAUGUAUCCCGUAUUAUAUGUAAUAUUACCUAUAGCUCCCUGUGCUCCUUAAUUUUAAAAGGAAAUAGACCAGUUCAAACCUAGGCAAAACAGAAGCAGCAGAACUAAUGUAGAACUCGCUAGCUGUUGAUUUUGCUUAUGUUGCUAAAGGCAGCCUAAACUGGGUAUGUGUGGCCUUCCCCUUUCUGUGCCUUGAUCACUGCAUCUGGAAAUGGCUGUUUAUGUGGAUAGUGUGAGGAGUGACACAUAGGGAGGAUCAAAGAGGGCAGCAUCUCCUUCGCACUGUUGGGCAUCCCUGCACCUCAUGGCUCCUUUGCAGCCUUGCUGCUGAAGUGGAGCUGAGUCCUCCAGAAAAAGAAAGGCCCCCAAGCGUGGAAAAGCAGGCUGCAGCCUUUGAGAAGGCUGCCAGGGCACACUGCUGUGCUUGUCCUCUGCGGCAGCGUGGGAUUUGUUCAGCUGUCAGUGCUUGUGCCUCUCCAGUCAUGCUGCAAGCCCGAGGGGGGGAAACAUACACCGACGAUGAACAUUAUUCAUUAUCCUGAUUUUGUGGGAGGGCUCAGCAGUUCAAGUGCUGUGAGGGAGUGACUGAGGUACUAAAAACAAAGAGCUUGCUUGUCACGGCUCUUGAGAGAGGAAUAAAAAAAAAAAAAAAAGAGGAGAAGGGAGUUCA